rnacentral:rRNA from 1 species
UACGUAGGUGGCGAGCGUUGUCCGGAAUCAUUGGGCGUAAAGAGCGCGUAGGUGGCUUGUCAGGUCCGAUGUGAAAACCUGGGGCUCAACUCCAGGCGUGCAUCGGAAACCGGCUUGCUAGAGUCUGGGAGAGGAGAGUGGAAUUCCUGGUGUAGCGGUGAAAUGCGUAGAUAUCAGGAGGAACACCGGUAGCGAAGGCGGCUCUCUGGAACAGUACUGACGCUGAGGCGCGAAAGCUAGGGGAGCGAACAGG